rnacentral:rRNA from 1 species
AGAUUGAACGCUGGCGGCGGGCCUAACACAUGCAAGUCGAGCGGUAGAGAGGUGCUUGCAUCUCUUGAGAGCGGCGGACGGGUGAGUAAUGCCUAGGAAUCUGCCUAGUGGUGGGGGAUAACGUUCGGAAACGGACGCUAAUACCGCAUACGUCCUACGGGAGAAAGCGGGGGACCUUCGGGCCUCGCGCCAUUAGACGAGCCUAGGUCGGAUUAGCUAGUUGGUGAGGUAAUGGCUCACCAAGGCGACGAUCCGUAACUGGUCUGAGAGGAUGAUCAGUCACACUGGAACUGAGACACGGUCCAGACUCCUACGGGAGGCAGCAGUGGGGAAUAGUUGGACAAGUGGGACGAAAGCCUGAUCCAGCCAUCGCCGCGUGUGUAGAAGGAA